rnacentral:rRNA from 1 species
GACGAACGCUGGCGGCACGCCUAACACAUGCAAGUCGAACGAGAGAAGAGAAGCUUGCUUUUCUGAUCUAGUGGCGGACGGGUGAGUAACACGUGAGCAAUCUGCCUUUCAGAGGGGGAUACCGUUUGGAAACGAUCGUUAAUACCGCAUAACAUAAUUGAACCGCAUGAUUUGAUUAUCAAAGAUUUAUUGCUGAAAGAUGAGCUCGCGUCUGAUUAGCUAGUUGGUAAGGUAACGGCUUACCAAGGCGACGAUCAGUAGCCGUACUGAGAGGUUGAUCGGCCGCAUUGGAACUGAGGCACGGCCCAGACACCUACGGGAGGCAGCGGUAGGGAAUAUUACACAAUGGGGGAAAGUCAGAUGCAGCGAUGCCGCGUAAAGGAAGAAGGUUGUGGAAGUAUAAACCUCUGUCUUCAGGGACGAAAAAAGACGGUACCUGAAGAGGAAGCUCCGGCUAACUACGUG